UACAGAGGGGGCAAGCGUUAUUCGGAAUUAUUGGGCGUAAAGGGCGCGUAGGCGGCCAGGCAAGUGGAAGGUGAAAUCCCUCGGCUUAACCGAGGAACUGACCCUCCAACUGCUUGGCUUGAGACCGGGAGAGGUAGACGUGGAAUUCCCAGUGUAGCGGUAGAAAUGCGUAGAUAGUUGGGAGGAACACCAGUGGCGAAGGCGGCUCACUGGAUCGGUACUGACGCUGAGGUGCGAAAGCGUGGGGAGCAAACAGG
rnacentral:rRNA from 1 species